rnacentral:rRNA from 1 species
AUUGAACGAUGGCGGCAGGCCUAACACAUGCAAGUCGAGCGGAUGAAGGGAGCUUGCUCCUGGAUUCAGCGGCGGACGGGUGAGUAAUGCCUGGGAAUCUGCCUGGUAGUGGGGGAUAACGUCCGGAAACGGGCGCUAAUACCGCAUACGUCCUGAGGGAGAAAGUGGGGGAUCUUCGGACCUCACGCUAUCAGAUGAGCCUAGGUCGGAUUAGCUAGUUGGUGGGGUAAAGGCCUACCAAGGCGACGAUCCGUAACUGGUCUGAGAGGAUGAUCAGUCACACUGGAACUGAGACACGGCCCAGACUCCUACGGGAGGCAGCAGUGGGGAAUAUUGGACAAUGGGCGAAAGCCUGAUCCAGCCAUGCCGCGUGUGUGAAGAAGGUCUUCGGAUUGUAAAGCACUUUAAGUUGGGAGGAAGGGCAGUAAGUUAAUACCUUGCUGUUUUGACGUUACCAACAGAAUAAGCACCGGCUAACUUCGUG